UUUUCUCUGAUUUAAAAAUGAAUAAAAGCUAACUGUACAGAGAAGAUCAGUAUAUCCUUGCACAAGGAUAACAUGUAAAUUUAUGAACACCCAUAUGCUUUU